rnacentral:rRNA from 1 species
UACGUAGGGUGCAAGCGUUGUCCGGAAUUAUUGGGCGUAAAGAGCUCGUAGGCGGUUUGUCGCGUCUGCUGUGAAAACGCGAGGCUCAACCUCGCGCCUGCAGUGGGGUACGGGCAGACUGGAGUGCGGUAGGGGGAGAUUGGAAUUCCUGGUGUAGCGGUGGAAUGCGCAGAUAUCAGGAGGAACACCGAUGGCGAAGGCAGAUCUCUGGGCCGUAACUGACGCUGAGGAGCGAAAGCGUGGGGGAGCGAACAGG